rnacentral:rRNA from 1 species
GAUGAACGCUGGCGGCGUGCCUAAUACAUGCAAGUCGAGCGAACAGACGAGGCGCUUGCUCCUCUGACGUUAGCGGCGGACGGGUGAGUAACACGUGGAUAACCUACCUAUAAGACUGGGAUAACUUCGGGAAACCGGAGCUAAUACCGGAUAACAUAUUGAACCGCAUGGUUCAAUAGUGAAAGACGGUUUUGCUGUCACUUAUAGCUGGAUGCGCGCUGCAUUAGCUAGUUGGUAAGGUAACGGCUUACCAAGGCAGCGAUGCGUAGCCGACCUGGGAGGGUGAUGGGCCACACUGGAGCUGGGACGCGGCCCAGGCUCCUAGGGGAGGCAGAAGUAGGGAAUCUUCCGCGAUGGGCGGAAGCCUGACGGAGCAACGCCGCGUGAGUGAUGAAGGUCCUCGGAUCGUAAAACUCUGUUAUUAGGGAAGAACAAUUGUGUAAGUAACUAUGCACGUCUUGACGGUACCUAAACAGAAAGCCACGGCUAACUACGUG